GUGCUUGCGUUAGCACCACAUAUACUAAAUUGGAAAGAUACAGAGAAGAUUAGCAUGGCUCCUGCUCAAGAAAGACACACAAAUUCGUGAAGCAUUCCAUAGUUUA